rnacentral:lncRNA from 1 species
GCCCACGUCAUGGCGCCUGAGGAGAACGCGGGUACCAAACUCUUGCUGCAGAGUUUCGAGCGCCGCUUCCUAGCGGCGCGCACACUGCGCUCCUUCCCCUGGCAGGUGGGCGGCGGGGCGAGCGGAGAGGCCUGCGGGGCUUGCGGAAGUCCAGGGGCAGACGGGAUGGGUCUCCCUGCUGAAACCCCCGGCGCUCCUGCCACCACGAGGCUGUCCACACGGAGCUUUUGGACGAGCUGUACGAGGCGCUGGCAGAGACCCUGAUGGCCAAGGAGUCCACCCAGGGCCACUGGAGCUAUUUGCUGCCCUCGGAAGGCUCGGUCACACUCUCCGAGCACAGCCAUCAUCUCCCACGGUACCACAGGCCUGGUCACAUGGGACGCUGCCCGCUACCUUGCAGAAUGGGCCAUCAAGAACCUGGCAGCCUUCACUAACAGUAACCUGAAGCUUUCACCGUAGACGUGCUGUAUUGCCCAGAAGCCAUCGUGUCCCUGGUCGGGGUCCUGCGGAGGCUGGCUGCCUGCUGGGAGCACCAGCGGGCUCCUGAGGUCUACAUGGCCUUUACCGUCCGCAACCCAGAGACGUGCCAGGUGUUCACCACCGAGCUAGGCUGGGCUGGGAUCAGAUGGGAAGCGGAAGCUCAUCAUGACCAGAAACUGUUUCCCUAUGGAGAGCACUUGGAGAUGGCAAUGCUGAACCUCACACUGUAGGACUCAUACACGACUCCAACGGGAUUGUUAGAAUCAAAUCACUCUCGUGGGAAGAAUUUUUAUAUGGGAAAGCGGAUAAAACUUUCAUUGGACUGGAAUGUUUGGAGAAUGUUAAAUUCCAAAUCAGGAACCACAAUCUGCCCUCUAAUAAGACAUCGGCUAUCUAAGCAUGUGGGUGCCCCCUUUCUGCCAGCAGUUCUGGUUCUUAAGAAAAUCACCAUAAAUCAGACAUGAAAAUUCUGGCUCCAAAAAUAGCAUUUUCUUUGUGCAAAUAAAAACGUGUGUAUCAAGUA